GCGUGAAGUCGGAAUCGCUAGUAAUCGCGGAUCAGCAUGCCGCGGUGAAUACGUUCCCGGGCCUUGUACACACCGCCCGUCACACCAUGAGAGUCGGGAACACCCGAAGUCCGUAGCCUAACAGCAAUGAGGGCGCGGCCGAAGGUGGGUUCGAUAAUUGGGGUGAAGUCGUAACAAGGUAGC
rnacentral:rRNA from 1 species